GUGCUCGCUUCGGCAGCACAUACACUAAAACUGGAACGAUACAGAGCAGAGAGCACGGCCCCUGCGCAAGGAUGACACACAGAUUCGUGAAGCGCUCCGUAUUUUU
rnacentral:snRNA from 1 species